rnacentral:rRNA from 1 species
GUUUUACCUUGACGAAUUGUAGUUUAAAGAAGUGUUUUCUGUUGAAGUUUUGGUAAAAGUUCUUUGGAAUAGGACAUCAUAGAGGGUGAGAAUCCCGUAUUUGACCAUUAUUUUCAGCUGUGUGAUACACUUUCAAAGAGUCGGAUUGUUUGGGAAUGCAGUCCAAAAUGGGUGGUAAAUUUCAUCUAAAGCUAAAUAUUGGCGAGAGACCGAUAGCGAACAAGUACCGUGAGGGAAAGAUGAAAAGAACUUUGAAAAGAGAGUUAAACAGUACGUGAAAUUGUCAAAAGGGAAGCGUUUGACACCAGUGUUGUUUUCUCGGAAAUCAAUUAAAAAAAGUUGGAUUUUGUGUUGUAUUGACCUUAACAGCUUUCUGCACUCUUUUCCUGCUUUUUUU